rnacentral:rRNA from 1 species
GAUGAACGCUGGCGGCGUGCCUAACACAUGCAAGUCGAACGGACAGACGAUGAGCUUUCUCCCCUGACGUUAGCGGCUGACGGGCGAGUAACACAUGGAUCACCUACUUAUUAGUCUGGGAUAACAACGGGAAACCAGAGCUGAUACCACCUCAUACAUCCUACCGCAUGGUUCAAUAGUUCAUCGGGCUUUGGCGGUCUCUUUUAGAUCGGGCCGCAUUGCCUAGUUGGUGUGGUAACGGCUUACCAAGGCGACGAUGCGUGGCCGAUCUGAGCGGGUGGACCGCCACAGUGGAACUGAGACACGGUCCAGACUCCUACGGGAGGCAGCAGUAGGGAAUCUUGGGCAAUGGGCGAAAGCUUGACCGAGCAACGCCGCGUGGGUGAAGAAGGUCUUCGGGUCGUAAAACGCUGUUAUUGGGGAAGAACAGAUGCAGAAGUAACUAUGCACGUCUUGACGGUACCUAAAGAAAAAGCAACGGCUAACUACGUG